GAAUAUUGGACAAUGGGGGCAACCCUGAUCCAGCGACGCCGCGUGGGUGAAGAAGGCCUGCGGGUUGUAAAGCCCUUUCGGUUGGGAAGAAAAGCUGUGACCUAACACGUCGCGGCCUUGACGUAACCAACUAAAGAAGCCCCGGCUAACUCUGUGCCAGCAGCCGCGGUAGUACAGAGGGUGCGAGCGUUAAUCGGAAUUACUGGGCGUAAAGCGCGCGUAGGCGGCUUUUCAAGUCGGAUGUGAAAUCCCCGGGCUCAACCUGGGAACUGCAUUCGAGACUGUCUAGCUAGAGUAUGGGAGAGGGAAGUGGAAUUUCAGGUGUAGCGGUGAAAUGCGUAGAUAUCUGAAGGAACAUCAGUGGCGAAAGCGACUUCCUGGACCAAUACUGACGCUCAUGUGCGAAAGCGUGGGGAGCAAACAGG
rnacentral:rRNA from 1 species